rnacentral:rRNA from 1 species
UACGUAGGGUGCGAGCGUUGUCCGGAAUUAUUGGGCGUAAAGAGCUCGUAGGCGGUUUGUUGCGUCUAUCGUGAAAACCUGCAGCUUAACUGUGGGCUUGCGGUGGAUACGGGCAGACUUGAGUUCGGUAGGGGAGAACGGAAUUCCUGGUGUAGCGGUGAAAUGCGCAGAUAUCAGGAGGAACACCGGUGGCGAAGGCGGCGUCCUGGACCAACACUGACACUGAUGAGCGAAAGCCAGGGGAGCAAACGGG